rfam:Punica granatum cultivar Dabenzi scaffold160, whole genome shotgun sequence.
GGGCCUGUAGCUAAGAGGAUUAGAGCACAUGAUUACGAACCACGGUGUCGAGGCUUCGAAUCCCUCCUCCCCCA